GGAUCGGCUCACCUGGACAGAACUCUGCUGAGGAUUCUGCAUCUCCACAGGUCAGACCGGCACAUCAGAGCAGGUCAGGGUGUUAUUUUGGUUCCUCUGAGGCUUGAUGAUCAGCUGCUUCUUUUAAACAGAUUUUUCUGAAGAGAAACAGCCAGAGGCUGAAGCUGUGAGAUGGAUCGACACGGAAAGGGCAGAGUUAAGUUCCUAUGAACCAGUUCAAUGAACCGGUGAUCAGGACGAUUCAUGACAGACGUCUGCAGCUCCGGCUCUCCAAUGUCGCUGACCUGCAACGUUUCAAUGCAUCACCUGGAUCAAAAAGUUAAAAGGAGGACAAGGACAAGGAGGCUGUGGUGGGAAGGACCAAGGACCUGGACCUCCUGCAGAGGAGGAGAGGAUUUUCUCCGCCGAGACACAGACACGUACACGGUCACAAACACAUGGGGCCACAAGAAAGGGGAGAACCUGUUCCUCACUUUAACUGCUCAAAAUGGAAACUUUCACGUCUUCACUAUGUUUUUUUGCUAAAUAUUACAAAUACUGUUAGUGAAGAGUAGAUGUCUGAUAAUCGUUUCUGUUUCCUCUGCAGCUCCUGCAGCAGCGACUCUGGAGGCGUCUCAAAGAUCUUCAUCUCUAAAAGCCGGCAGUGAUCAGUUACAUUCAGCGAUUAAAGGCUGAACUCAAAAUGAAUAAAGGCUUAAUAAAAAUACAUCUGAGGUUCUGGAAAUGCAAACUGUUUUGAUUUUAACUAAAGGUAUGAUGAGAAAUUGCUGCUUUGUACUGACUGGAUUUCAAAUAAAGUAUAUGAAAUUCAAACACAUGAUCACUUUCAGUUGUAUUUUGUUUGAAUCUAUUCUGUUAAACAGUGUUUAAAGUUGAAUGUUUUCUGCUGGUAGGUGUGGAGAUACCGAGCUCCCAUGUCUCUUGGUUCCUUUCGGGUCCUCGUCUCUUCUGCUGUUUGUUUGUCAGCCUGUGUUUCCAGUUAUUCCAGUUGCUACUGGUUUCUGAGCUCCUAGCCUUCUGCUCACCUGUGCUGCCUGGAUUGUGUUUUCUUCUUCAUUAAAACCAUCGUCAUUAUUCAGCAACCUGGUUCCUCUGCUUCUGUCCUCACCAACUCCACUACAAUUCAUGACACAAAGCACCGAUUCCUGAAAUAUUCGCUCUUCACUCCCUCUGAUCUCGUCUGAUCC